ensembl:antisense Gm26787 predicted gene, 26787
AGGAAGGAGCGGCGAUAGGAAGGAGUGGACGCUGUACCCUGGUCACAUGAGCAGAAGCGGAAAUACGUAGAGAAAGCGGCAGUCGUACCACGUCCGGAAAAGUUGGGCUGCAGAUCCGUUUGUUUUUUAAGGACCAUGAAAAAGUUCCUCUAACAGACAUCUGGAGAAAAAUUAAAACAACUGUACUAUGGACUGGAUAUUUACCAGGUUGUUGCCGUUUGAGUUCCUGUCCUGCCUGCCUUCAAUGAUGAACAAUGAUGUGAGUCUUUGCUUCAUUGGCGCUGAUGAUGAAUAAAGGAAACAGGAUAGAAAAGAGGCAGCCACUGUUUAAAAAAAAAAAAAAAAAAAGUCAACUUUAUAAGGCAUGACUUUAGGAAACAGUAUUAUAAGCCUCACAUCUCUUCACUUCUGAAUUUCUAAGUAUUUUCCUCCAGGAGGCAGCAUAGAAGAUUUUUUUUUAUAUUUUCAUCUUAAUAAUGACAAAUGUCACUUAAUAUUAGCAACAACAAAUUUUCCUGAUGGUCAAAUGAUGUGACAUGCUGGUACAGAUGCAGAACAAUAAAAGAUACUUGGAACAU